rnacentral:rRNA from 1 species
CAGGCCUAACACAUGCAAGUCGAACGGCAGCACAGGAGAGCUUGCUCUCUGGGUGGCGAGUGGCGGACGGGUGAGGAAUACAUCGGAAUCUACUUUUUCGUGGGGGAUAACGUAGGGAAACUUACGCUAAUACCGCAUACGACCUACGGGUGAAAGCAGGGGACCUUCGGGCCCUGCGCGGAUGAAUGAGCCGAUGUCGGAUUAGCUAGUUGGCGGGGUAAAGGCCCACCAAGGCGACGAUCCGUAGCUGGUCUGAGAGGAUGAUCAGCCACACUGGAACUGAGACACGGUCCAGACUCCUACGGGAGGCAGCAGUGGGGAAUAUUGGACAAUGGGCGCAAGCCUGAUCCAGCCAUACCGCGUGGGUGAAGAAGGCCUUCGGGUUGUAAAGCCCUUUUGUUGGGAAAGAAAAGCAGCAGGUUAAUACCCCGCUGUUCUGACGGUACCCAAAGAAUAAGCACCGGCUAACUUCGUGCCAGCAGCCGCGGUAAUACGAAGGGUGCAAGCGUUACUCGGAAUUACUGGGCGUAAAGCGUGCGUAGGUGGUCGUUUAAGUCCGUUGUGAAAGCCCUGGGCUCAACCUGGGAACUGCAGUGGAUACUGGGCGACUAGAGUGUGGUAGAGG